AAAAUUUGACAACUGUCAUCUGUCCUCCGCUUCUCUCCUGUCCUCUGAAUGUCGCUGUCCUUGUCCCCACUCUCUUCCUUUAAACUGGUCCGCGAGAAUCAAAAAGAGACCCUGAAAAUAAACUAAUCGGAUCCCCAGUUGAAGACCCAAAAAUACCAAGCUGAAGAACAUAGCACUUCUACCUCCUGUGAGAAACAGCUCCCCUCACCUUCUCAACAUCUGCAUGAAAAAGGGGUGAUUCCUUUUGUGAGAAACAGCUCCCCUAGCGAGUGCGGGCUUUUGGUGGCCGCGCUACAGGCAGGCCGCUAUCCUGCGCGUCUGCUUGGGCCUGGGGAUUCGGAACCCGUCAGUUCGUGGCAGUGCUGUGGCAGGGCUAGUGGAGGGAAUACGGUCCGUGUACGCCUAUCUACUACACAUGCGUAUUCUGUUCGGCCCAUUUCCUUUACUUGUUCGCGCGCCUGGAAAGACGACAUGUCAUGCACUAGAAAGGCUGGCCCAUGUCCGUGACCUUUAUCCCUAACUCGUGAACAAGCCGUCGCCGCACACCUGCUCUGCCUCUCCGUCUCUGUCUCUCUCCCUCAAACCCGACGGCGGCACUGGUUUCUCUCCGGCGAGCAUCUCCCUGCCCCUUGGCCCUACCCAUGUACCCCGUGGUCGUGGGCAAUUCUUCGCCACACGCCGGCUCUUCCGUUGGGUCUCUUUUCCCCAACCUCGACGGCGCCAGGGUUUGCUCUCCGACGAGAUGUGCUCCUUUGAUCUUGAGAUGCCACGGGUGCAUCUUCUCUUCUUAUGGCCCGGAGGUCAUGGCCGUGUUUAGAUUCGCAUCUUAUUCUUUGGAUUUGAGUUCAUUUGCCUCACCACGAACCUUUCUGCAGGAUCCAUGUUUCGGACGUUAGAGCCGAUCCCUGAUGCAUUCCCCGUGGAGUCGCGGGAUUUCAUGAGCAUCGCCGAUACCCAGCUGGGCCGCGGCGGCGAGGGCACCCUCUGUGCGGGGACGCCGGCUUAGGUUUUCUCAGAAGCCACCAGCGGCUGAACCAUGAGCGGCUGUCCUCCAUGGAUGAGUUUGCCGAAGCGCGGCAAGGUGGACCAUACAGUACGGAUGAUGCAAUAAUUGAAGAUAUGAAGAAGGAUUACAUGGUCGCGCAAGAGAUCAAGGAGAAUAACAAAUAAGCUUUAUGCAAUGGAUAAUUUGCAAGGCAAGGUUCUCCAUGCUUGUAUGUACGUUGCUGCUUUUGGAAUUUGGCAGUUGCUUACUGGUCAUGUUUGGUGAUUGAUGCUGAAUUCCUAGAUACAUUUUGUAAACAUUUGGAUUUGUCCAGGCGCAUGCCUGUAUGUACUAGAUGUUUACUUGUUUUCACUUAUCUGCAGAAGUGGUACGUUCCCUGUGAGAUUAAAUUAACUAGGUCCUAAUAAUGUAUUAUGUAAAAAUGUAUAUUUUAAUGGAGGUGUAUUUUCUGGUCA